rnacentral:rRNA from 1 species
AGAGUUUGAUCCUGGCUCAGGUUGAACGCUGGCGGCAUGCCUUACACAUGCAAGUCGAACGGUAACGCGGGGCAACCUGGCGACGAGUGGCGAACGGGUGAGUAAUACAUCGGAACGUGCCCAGUAGUGGGGGAUAGCCCGGCGAAAGCCGGAUUAAUACCGCAUACGACCUACGGGUGAAAGGGGGGGAUCGCAAGACCUCUCGCUAUUGGAGCGGCCGAUGUCAGAUUAGGUAGUUGGUGGGGUAAAAGCCCACCAAGCCAACGAUCUGUAGCUGGUCUGAGAGGACGACCAGCCACACUGGGACUGAGAGACGGCCCAGACUCCUACGGGAGGCAGCAGUGGGGAAUUUUGGACAAUGGGCGCAAGCCUGAUCCAGCCAUGCCGCGUGCGGGAAGAAGGCCUUCGGGUUGUAAACCGCUUUUGUCAGGGAAGAAAAGUUUUGAGCUAAUACCUCGAGACGAUGACGGUACCUGAAGAAUAAGCACCGGCUAACUACGUGCCAGCAGCCGCGGUAA